rnacentral:rRNA from 1 species
UACGAAGGGGGCUAGCGUUGCUCGGAAUCACUGGGCGUAAAGCGCACGUAGGCGGAUUUUUAAGUCAGGGGUGAAAUCCUGGAGCUCAACUCCAGAACUGCCUUUGAUACUGGGAAUCUAGAGUCCGGAAGAGGUGAGUGGAACUCCGAGUGUAGAGGUGAAAUUCGCAGAUAUCAGGAGGAACACCGAUGGCGAAGGCAGCUCGCUGGGACGGUACUGACGCUGAGGCGGCGAAAGCGUGGGGAGCAAACAGG